rnacentral:rRNA from 1 species
GACGAACGCUGGCGGCGUGCUUAACACAUGCAAGUCGAACGGAAAGGCCCCUUUGGGGGUCCUCGAGUGGCGCACGGGUGAGUAACACGUGAGUAACCUGCCCUUGACUUCGGGAUAACUUCAGGAAACUGGGGCUAAUACCGGAUAGGAAUCCUUGCUGCAUGGUGGGGGUUGGAAAGCUUCGGCGGUUUUGGAUGGACUCGCGGCUUAUCAGCUUGUUGGUUGGGUAGUGGCUUACCAAGGCUUUGACGGGUGGCCGGCCUGAGAGGGCGGCCGGCCACCUUGGGACUGGGAUACGGCCCCGACUCCUACGGGAGGCAGCAGUGGGGAAUAUUGCCCAAUGGGCGGGAGCCUGAUGCAGCAACGCCGCGUGCGGGAUGACGGCCUUCGGGUUGUAAACCGCUUUCAGCAGGGGCGAAGCUUGUGGUGACGGUACCUGCAGAAGAAGCACCGGCUAACUACGUG